rnacentral:lncRNA from 1 species
UUUUUCUACCAUGGCUCCUCCCUCGCUGGCUUCCUCACCACCUCUUGAACGGUCCAUUUUGGUCAUUUUCAGCUUUCACAUAGAGCGAGAGCGAGAGAGAGAGAGAGAUGCCAGCCACUCCUAGCUGCUAGAUGGGGUUUCCCAGGACUUGUGGUCGGUGUUUUCUCUUGAGCCCUUUUUUGUUUUUUUCCCUUGUUUUGUUUGUUCCGCUGUUACUAAUCCUUGUCGAGUCCUCUUUUCUUCGUCUUUUUAAGUGUUCCAAACCCUACACGCUGGUCUGCAUCUCGGGUCUUGCCAGUUGCCCUUCAUUUCUUCCGCUUCCUGUUCUCUCUCCCUCUCUCUCUCCCUCUCCGUGUCUCGCUAGGGUUUGAAGAUCUGUGAGGGUUUCGUAUGGUGAUUUUGAAGUGAUUCUUGAUUUCCCUGGUUUUGAGUGAUUUCUAGGGUUUGCAUGUGAAGAGAGAGGGGAUUAAUAUAGAGGAGUCUGGAGCUCCUUUUAAGUCCAAUAGAGGUUCUUGGCCGGGUGGGUUGAGCUGCUGGUCUAUGGAUCCCACACUCCUAUCCCAUUAUAUCCAGUCAUUCGCGAACGGAUCUCCAAAAAAAAGGAAAAAAGAGAAAUGAAGGAGACGCGGAGAUCGAAGAAAAAUUUGGGAUAGGCUUGUGGCUUGCAUAUGCCAGGAGCUUCACUUGCCCCUUUUGGUCUGAAUCCUGUUUUGGAUUGAAGGGAGCUCUACACUUUUCUUUUGUAAUCUAUUGCAUGAGACGAUUUUGGUGACUUCUUGGCUUGUGUGUUCCUUUUUUCUUUCUGGGUGUUUCUUUUCGCGGCCGAAUUUGGAGACGUUAAUUAGAUCUGGUUUUCUUUGAACAGAAGAGAUCUAGUUUUGAAAUCUUUUUAGUUGCCCUAUUCCGUACUUGUAGUUUCGAAUUUGUAUUUUUGCUUGCCUUUUUUGGAUCUGGCUGAGUCAAAAAGCAUUUAUGGGUGCUUUCAAGAUUGCUUCAUGUGAGGUGUGUCCUGAAUGAUGAUUGUGCAGGCUGCUUCUUCCUAGAUACUCUCGCAUGAUGUGUAUCUAACCGUAACUGUUCUUGUGUCCUGACCAAUGGGGUUUGUCUUAGACGCUUCUCUAGAUCCGUUUUCAGGAUCAUCAGAUCUGCUGAAUCUCUCUCUCUCUCUCUCUCUCUCUCUGGGUUAGGUUAACCUUACACUGUAGUUUCGAACGUAAAAGACUUGCUCUAUUUUGUCGAGAAAGAUGGAAAAUUUUGGUCUUCGAAGCACUCUCUGGAAGAAAUGGAAUCAUGCUUAUCAAUUUGCUGUCGGCUUUUCCAGCUCUAGUCGUAGCCAUUCUCUCUUGUGAACCUGCGUCCACGAUGCAAUUAUUUAUUUGUUAACAUUUUGCUUUUGUUUCUUGCCGGGAUAGUGCAUAGUUCUUUUCUUUUCUUUUCUUUUUUUGGUGUUUGGGGACCGAAUGUGUCCUAUUGUACUCUCGGUUUUUCUUGGCCGAAGUUCGAAGAUUAAUUUGUGGCUGUCGAAUGGCUAUCUGUACAUUGCCGUUGGAUAGGAAUAUCUGAAGUUACUCUAGAAAUUGGUGCCAGCAGCGGAUGCUUUUCAUCAGCAAUGUCCAAGUUCGUCUUCUUUUCGGGUUAAACUGGUCUCUGUGCUCCUCAGUAAUUCCAUAACAGUGAUGCAUUUUCAGUCUUGACCGAAGAGAAAAACAUGUUAUGGGUUGUGGAUAUGGCAUGCUCUAACUAUUUCUUCUCUGUUAGUACAGGGUUCGCCUUCUGGUCUUUUAUAUGCUUCAAUCAGGAAUGGAUAUGAUGGUCGAGAUGCCGAAGCUCGGGAUUGUUACGCAUUUAUUGAGAGAAUGUUUUUUUAAAGGUUGUGCGAUUGGUUUGUCGAGUAUGAAAGCUUUCGUUGGUCUUUUCUUUUUGGCAAUUUGAACAUGUAAUACGAGGACAUUCUCGUAUCCCAGAACCCUACUCUUCACUCUUCUAGUUUACGAUAGAUCACCAAAUCGAUGAGUGGAUUUGGAUUAGGCCCAAUAUGGUCAAAAAAUAUCUCGAUUUUCUGCCGAAUGAUGGAAUUCGAGAAAUGAGAGUUCAUGUAAGUGUGAAGGGACUAUUUGGCCAUGUGAAGUGUAAGUUGCUCCGACGAUGGAGUGGAGCUUCUACUUUUAUAAGAUAUUGCUUGUCGCGUUCGGUCCAUAAUCGAUUAAAUGGUUCGGAGCGUUCGUGCAAGAAGGGAGAGGAG